rnacentral:misc_RNA from 1 species
GAUGAAGAACGUAGCGAAACGCGAUAGUUAAUGUGAAUUGCAGAAUUCAGUGAAUCAUCGAGUCUUUGAACGCACAUUGCGCCCCCUGGUAUUCCGGGGGGCAUGCCUGUCCGAGCGUCAUUGCUGCCCUCAAGCCCGGCUUGUGUGUUGGGUCUCGUCCCCCUUCCCGGGGGGACGGGCCCGAAAGGCAGCGGCGGCACCGCGUCCGGUCCUCGAGCGUAUGGGGCUUUGUCACCCGCUCUGUAGGCCCGGCCGGCGCUUGCCGAUCAACCAAAACUUUUUUCCAGGUUGACCUCGGAUCAGGUAGGGAUACCCGCUGAACUUAAGCAUAUCAAUAAGCGGAGGA